CAGUCGCCGCGGUAAUACGUAGGGUGCGAGCGUUAAUCGGAAUUACUGGGCGUAAAGCGUGCACAGGCGGUUAUGUAAGACAGUUGUGAAAUCCCCGGGCUCAACCUGGGAACUGCAUCUGUGACUGCAUAGCUAGAGUACGGUAGAGGGGGAUGGAAUUCCGCGUGUAGCAGUGAAAUGCGUAGAUAUGCGGAGGAACACCGAUGGCGAAGGCAAUCCCCUGGACCUGUACUGACGCUCAUGCACGAAAGCGUGGGGAGCAAACAGGAUUAGAUACCCGCGUAGUCCCUGUCUCUUAUAC
rnacentral:rRNA from 1 species